AUGUCGAUAGCCCUCAUCCUCUUGCUCGUCACGCUUGGUGUCGAUGGCGUCUCUAGUCUCUCGCCCGCUGUGCGCACGGACGACAUAGAGAUGGCGGCCAUGCAAGCGAUCGCCAAGUCUACCGGCGCCGACAGGUCGCUUGGCUGGGGCGUCAAAUCGGCAGAUCCAUGCGACGGCACCUGGCCAGGCGUCCGCUGCGACAAAGAUUCGCAUGUCGUCGCCAUCAACGCCAGCCGCGCCGGCCUCUCCGGCACUCUCUCGGGCACCGACCUCGUCGACCUCGGAUACCUCACGGAGCUCGAUCUCAGCUUCAACCGCCUCGGCGACGACAUGCCUAUCCUCCCAAGGCCUCUCACCUACCUGACGACACUCAACCUACAGUCCAAUUCCUUCAUGGACAUGCCACAGACCUUCUUCCGCUCCUUCCCCGCGCUCGAGACCGUGGUCCUCGACGACAACUGGGUUAUAAUGGGGGACAUCACGGACGUGCCCCCCUACCCCGGCCUCAGGAGCUUCUCGGCCAACAACGUCACCAUCUAUGGCCGCUUCCCCGCCUACUUCGGCAACACCACCCUUUUCCCUGCCCUCGAGAGCCUCUCUUUAGCGAGGAAUGAUCUCAAGAGUGGACUGCCCUCCUCCUUCGCCAAGAAUAGCAAGAUCAAGUUCCUCGACAUUAGCAGGCAGCGGGAUUCGAUCGGCCUCGGCAUGUACAAUGGGUUUCUAGAUUUCAUCGCCGGCAUGACUAGCCUCGUCGAGAUCCACGUGGCUGGCGAUCAAUUCCGCGGCCCUCUGCUGGACGUCUCCGCGCUGGCCAAUCUCAAGGUGUUUGAUGCCGCCGACAACAACUUGUGCGGUCCGCUCAAGUUUCCUCCUGGCGUUGCCGUGAACGUCACCGGAAACCCCCAAAUCGGCAAGGACUGCCCAUAG
rnacentral:rRNA from 1 species